rnacentral:rRNA from 1 species
GUGAACGCUGGCGGUAGGCCUAACACAUGCAAGUCGAACGGCAGCACAGUAAGAGCUUGCUCUUACGGGUGGCGAGUGGCGGACGGGUGAGGAAUACAUCGGAAUCUACUUUUUCGUGGGGGAUAACGUAGGGAAACUUACGCUAAUACCGCAUACGACCUACGGGUGAAAGCAGGGGAUCUUCGGACCUUGCGCGAUUGAAUGAGCCGAUGUCGGAUUAGCUAGUUGGCGGGGUAAAGGCCCACCAAGGCGACGAUCCGUAGCUGGUCUGAGAGGAUGAUCAGCCACACUGGAACUGAGACACGGUCCAGACUCCUACGGGAGGCAGCAGUGGGGAAUAUUGGACAAUGGGCGCAAGCCUGAUCCAGCCAUACCGCGUGGGUGAAGAAGGCCUUCGGGUUGUAAAGCCCUUUUGUUGGGAAAGAAAAGCAGCAGGUUAAUACCCCGCUGUUCUGACGGUACCCAAAGAAUAAGCACCGGCUAACGUCGUG